CUCUCGCUCGGCCCGGUAGAUGUUGUCGUGGCUGUGCUUGGCCCACGUCUCGGGCGUGGAAGCGCUGUGGCGUGGGCCCCGGGGAGGAGCAUCAAGAGCAGGAGGAGAUGGGAAACAAAACAGUAUCCUCAAGGUUCAAGGACACAUUCCAGCCUGGCAAAAAUCAAGGAGGCCUGAGGAGAUUUCCAAGGGCCAGACAGAGAAGUUCAGAGGGUGGCAUUUGGGCCCCACUCCUGGACUGCAAGUAAAAGAUAAAAAAGGUGUAGGUGAUCCAGAGGUUCUCACCUGUCCUCGAACCUCGAUGUGCUUGGAUGGAACUGGAUGUUCGUGCUCUGGUUAUUGUACCUCCCACAUUUCUCGUCAAU